UACGGAGGGUGCGAGCGUUGUCCGGAAUCACUGGGCGUAAAGGGCGCGUAGGCGGCCUGAUAAGUAGGGGGUGAAAUCCUGCGGCUUAACCGCAGGGCUGCCUUCUAAACUGUCAGGCUCGAGCACAGUAGAGGCAGGUGGAAUUCCCGGUGUAGCGGUGGAAUGCGUAGAGAUCAGGAGGAACACCGAUAGCGAAGGCAGCUCGCUGGGACGGUACUGACGCUGAGGCGCGAAAGCGUGGGGAGCGAACAGG
rnacentral:rRNA from 1 species